rnacentral:miRNA from 1 species
GAAUUGAUUUAUGUUUGGAUACAC